rnacentral:lncRNA from 1 species
CAAGAAGAGAAGAAAGGGAAGAGAAGGGCAAGCAGCGCCUAGUUUCUGCCGAAGCAGAAACUGGGCGCCUAGGCGCCAUGAAUGCAGAACCAAAGCAGAAUAUUGGCGCCUAGGCGGCCCGGCAUGUAUAUAUAUAUGCAUUUUUUCCCUCUUUCAUUACAACACACACAUCACAAGACCUAGAGAGAAAAGAGAGAAAACUUUGGAGAGAAUUUUUACAAGAUUGAAGGUUGUUCAUCUUGGGUAUAAAUUCAAAGGUAGUUUCUUUCUUGGGGAUUAACUUGAGGCUUGUUCAAGUAAUCCAAACACAUUGAUUAUCAUAUAUUCCAUUGGAUUCAUUUCUUCCUCAUUUUCUUGUUCUUCAAGCAUAUUGGAAAUUUUCACUUUGCCAACUUAGUUUGAUCUUUGGGCAUUCAUUGGGAGGUGUUUUCCCAACAAUUUGGUAUUAGAGCUACAUCCUAAAUCAAGGUGGUCAAGCUUCGAUUUUGUGGUGAGUUGCUUGAACUUGUUGUGCACAAGGUGUUUGUGAAAAUUCCCAAGUGAACUUUUGUGAUUUAUUUUCGGUAAACAAGUGAGUAAAUCAUGUCUACUAGAGGAAUGGUGAAGAUUGGGAAGUAUGAGAUAGAAAAAUUCAAUGGGAAGAAUGAUUUUUCAUAUUGGAGAAUGCAAAUGAAAAAUUUGUUGAUUUCUCAAAAGUUGCACAAGGCAUUGGCGGGAAAGGAGAAGAAGCACGUUGAUAUGUCGGACGAGGAUUGGGAAGAGUUAGAUCUUGAGGCACGAGCGUCUAUCAUUCUUUGCCUUGAAAGAGAU